rnacentral:lncRNA from 1 species
GAUGAUUAUUCUUGCUUUAACCACACCGAACUAAAGGCUAUUGGAAGGGUGCUUUCUUCCUUCCUCCAUUUGCGCCAGGCUCCUCUUUCUUGGUGUUUCCUCAUGAAACCUUGCUUUCUUGUUGAAGAAUGCAGUUCCUGUUUUCUUCCGCGAGAGUGCGAGGUAGAAGGAUUCGGUAAGAUUUGGUAGCGUAGCAAGGGGGGAAAGCUGGAGGCCUCGUCCGCUGGUUCUUGGCUUGUAGAAAAACCUGGCCUUUCUCUGAGAGCCUUUGCCCUGUAUUUGCAAUUGAUACCCCUCUUUGAAUAAGUAUUUCCCCCUUUUCAAGCCAAUAUGUUCCGCUGAUCAAUUAUUUAUAUGGGUGUUGGACGAUAAUCUGGAAUAAAAUUUGUCGCUAACAAAACAUAUUAUGAAAGUGAUUCGGAUUAUUAAAAUGAUUCUUAAUCUGAGAUAUAUAUAACCAUCUAGUUACAAAACAGUUAACUAUUCGCGGACAGGCCGGUCUGCCGGUGCACAACCUGCGAGCGUCAUUGCAUAUCUGGUACUUUGAACUAAAUUCCCAGAGUGCAGGAGCCCACUAAUCCCUUCCAAAUCCGAGCUUCGGUCCCUGCUGCUCCCCAGCUACCCGCAGGCCGCAGCAAUGGUGCCGCUUUGUUACGUAGUCCUUAUGUUUCAGACAUUCUGCACAAGACCACAACACAAAUUUACGAAAAUUUUAGUCUAUCUGAACGGCCAAAUUUUUGUGUCAAAUCAAUUUUGGAUAUGUACUUGGCUGUUUCAGAUAUCCAAAUCGUAUCUGUUUUCUCAGAUUAAGAUAAGCUUGUACAAUUUUAAUGCCGAUGAUAAUAUAUGUUUUGGUUGUUUUUAAAUAAUCGUCCUGUGCUUAUUUAUUCGAAAAUAUACUUUGCGCUGCAGCUUCGGAGCAUUGCACUGAAAAAUAAAAAAAAUGUCGUAUUAAUCAGACCGUAAAAAAUGGCACUUUAUUUUGAUUUAAGUGUGUAGCCACAUAUACUCCCUAACUUUCCCCCUUCCAUCUAUUAGUGUGUGAUGUGUAACUGCCAACCACCAGCAACGAUUCACUGUGUUUGCUCCAGCUUUUUUCUCGGGCUGUCAUGUCGCAUCAUAUACAUUUAAGAAUUAAGAUCGUUUAGCCAAAAGCUCGUUUGAUUGGACCCGGUCUUCCGCGCUGUCCUUUCUAUUAAUGCUGUACUAUCUUGGUGCAGCAGCUGAGCAACCACUGGCAACUGGAAUCCCCGUCCUGUUUUUAACCCCUUGUUCUGUCUUCAGCAACGUUCUCUAUAUCCGUUCUUUACAGUCUCUUCUAAAAGAUUUCAUCAUUUAACAUUCUCUAUAUCUGUUCUUUACAGUCUCUAAAUCAUGUCCUUUAUAUUUAAAUAUCUAUAUUAGAGAUAUUUUUUAUUUUUAUUUUUAUACAUACAUAUUUGUCAUAAUCUUAAAUGGAUAGAGAAUCGUUUAGAGAAACUCUAUAUACAUCAGCCGCUUAAGAUCUUGUUCGUUUACGUUGGAUUGUACCCAAAAUCGUUUAAGCUAAUCAAAAUUUAUAUAAAUUAGAGAAACAUAGUUCUGCUCUAUCAAUCGGACACAAACCAACAAGGCGUCUUUACUACGGCCAUGGUCUUCGUCGCUGUUACAUUGACUGCGAGGGGACGACGUAUAAAAGGACGCGUGACGAAGAAGAAAUAUCCGCGCCGCCGAGGUCCCCUCGAUGCGUAACCGAGAAACUCUUCCGGGCACUCAACCGAUAUGGUCAUUAAUUCAUAGCGACAUGUAACCAACUGUAAUAACUCUAAAGUGGCGAUUUCUUCAUGCUACAACAUAAUCUUAUGACGAAAUGGUCAAAGGCGAAGGACGCCGCCGGUAAGUGAAAGAGACGGGGAAGGGUCAACACGAACAGAUGGACGCUACUCAAUAUUAUUUGCUGUCUCUGGCUCUAUCGCGCCAUAAAUCGUGAAAGAAACGGCGUUAGACUGUCUUUAGUAGAAAUGGUAAAAUAAGGGGCGCAAAACUACGUAAUGAAGUUUAAAAUAAGAGAUGAAAUGAGAGAUAAGACAGGGGAUCCGCUGCUGAAGAUAACGUCAGUCAGCUGCUCAAGAUAGCGUCAGUCGCGAACGACAGUGACUCAUUAGCUAACAAAAUAAAGUAAUAUCAACAAAUAAAUGUAGUAAAAGAAACAUGGUAGUCUGUAUGAGAACACUGAUGACGUACUAAUUGCAAAAUGGUGUGGCAGUUUGGAUCUUGAAUGAAUGAAUGCCGAUUUUCUCUGUCCGUGACUUCGUCUCAUACUCACAUGUUCCAUUAACAUUCCAGACGUUGACUGUUACGGAAUAGGGACGCAAUCGAGGCGAGGGUCGUGAAGACAUUAUGUACAUAUUUUAGAGUAUGCACGCUUUGCAAAGAUAGCUCACUAACACAUCGAUCCUAAUCAUUAACGUAUCAAAAGAACUUGUGUAUACAUCAUAUAUGUAAGGAUCACGCUUCUCUAACAUUUUUUUACUUGAGUUAAAUCCUAAUUACAGGUUCAACUUCACCGAAUGGCUAGUAGGUGAUAAAGAAUUUUACACCAUAGUUUAGUUUCUAACCCUAUAUUAGCAUGGCAAUUUCUGAAGUAGAUUGCUCAAAUAAAAAUGCAAAAUCUUGAUGUUUUUCCCUAGAUUUCAAAAAACUCAGCACUCUUUACUAAUUCUCAUUAAAGCACCUGCACAAGGGUGUCCCCCUAGUCCAUGCAAUAACCAAGUACAGUCUCAAAUCGGAUCACACACAAGUUCUUCGGGUGAUCACCGUACAACCGAUUGUCAUCUAGUCAUCUAGGUGAUUUUGAUUGCCAAGAGUAACAAACAUAACACUUGAUCAUGCCAAAUCUAACUAGGAUGGUGGUUGCACACAAAUCACACUUUAUGCACUCAAUAUUUGAAUAUCUUACCUAACACUAGACAUUUAGAUAGAUAACAAUUCGUGAAUAUAAUUUGCUAAACAUAGGUUACAUCCUCCCGACGAGGCAAACCUACAGGUGUGCAGGUUGAUAGCACAUCUAUGGCGACUGUCCGACUGAGGUAAAGACGAUAACAAUUCUUCAUGAGACAAUUCAUGUAAAACAAGUUGUAAAGGAGGGUAUAAAAACCAAUGAUUUUGAUGCUUAUGACUGAGGUAAAGAUGAUAACAAUGAUUUUAACACCACAUAUGUUGCCUAGCUGAAGUUGGAGCUCACUACAGGAAUCCAGUUAAUUGCCUAGCUGAAGGGAAUUAGCCCUAGACCGACGGGAAUAACUAAUUCCCGUCGGUAUAUGGUUAAUUCUCGUCGGUUCUAAGCCGACGGGAAUUAAUCGUCAGGGUUAAGUCAAUCCCCGUCGGGAGCUGACAGGAAUAACUAAUUCUCGUCGACUAAAUAUAAGCCAACGGGAAUUACUAAUUCCUGUCGGCUACGCGUAAACCGACGGGAAUUAAUUAGGUUUGCUUAUUCCUUUCCAUAUUUCCAUCACUUAUUUUGUCAUAAGAUGCUGGAACAGUUUUAUAUGUGAUUUAGUUUUGCGUUUGUCGCCAAAUUUAACUAGCAAUUUAAUUUAUAAUUGGUGUAUUGGUAUGUGUAAUUUUCUCUUUUUAUUUUUCAUGUGCUUCCUGGGAUCAGUUUUUAUGCAUCAAUAUGAGUUGAGGCUGCUAUUUUUUACCUUAUAAAUCCACACGUUCAUGCCCUUUGAGCUAAAUAUUUUUUUUUCGGUUGAACUGUUCUUUUACCUUUUUCCUUACUUCCUUUUUGCUUUUGGAGAGCUGAUGAACUAGAAACAAGAUUUAUGGAAAUGGUUAACCAAGACAACAGGCGUCAAUUAAGUGCAGUUAUAGAGUACUUUCCUAUUAUCUACAGAUAAAAUAUUCAAUUAUGGUACAACGCCCGAUAGUGUGCUGCCAUGUUCUAGUCACUUGCAAAGUUUAGCUCAUUGACACAUAAAUCUCCAUCAUCAACAUAUUAAAGAACUCAUGUAUGCAGUAUAUGCCAAGUCAACCGUGCACUAUGAACUUUGAUAAAAUGACACCAACAGCAAGUAAGAUAGAUGCUAAAUUAGAAGUAGACACAAGGAUUUAUGUGAAAACCCCUUGCAAGAAAAAAAACCACAAGUGACAGACGAGCAAACAAUCUACUAUAAAAAUGAAGGAUGUGUCGGGGACCAUAAUUAGGGGUACCCUUAAGGCUCCUAAUUCUCAGCUGGUAACCCCCAUCAGCAUAAAGCUGCAAAGGCCUGAUGGGUGCGAUUAAGUCAGGGAUCAGUCCAUUCGAGCGACUCGAUCACGCCUCGCCCGAGCCUAGCCUCGGACAAGGGCAGCCGACCCCGGAGGAUUUCCGUCUCGCCCGAGGCCCCCCUCCAGCGGCGAACGUAUUUCCGGCUCGCCCGAGGCCCUGCCUUCGCUAAGAAGCAACCCUGACUAAAUCGCCGCACCGACCGACCAAAUCGCAGGAGCAUUUAAUGCAAAGGUGGCCUGACACCUUUAUCCUAACGCGCGCCCCCCGGCUGGCAGAGCCGAAGUGACCGCCGUCACUUCGCCGCUCCACUGACCGGCCUGACAGAAGGACAGCGCCGCCUGCGCCGCUCCGACUGCGGUGCCACUUGACAGAGUGAGACUGACAGGCAGUCAGGCCCUGCCGAAGGCACCAUAGGAAGCUCCGCUUCGCCCGACCCAGGGCUCGGACUCGGGCUAAGUCCCGGAAGACGGCGAACUCCGCUUCGCCCGACCCAGGGCUCGGACUCGGGCUAAGUCCCGGAAGACGGCGAACUCCGCUCCGUCCGACCCAGGGCUUGGACUCGGGCUCAGCCCCGGAAGACGGCGAACUCCGCUCCGCCCGACCCAAGGCUCGGACUUGGGCUCAACCCUAGAAGACGACGAACUCCGCCUCGCCCGACCCAGGGGCUCGGACUCGACCUCGGCCACGGAAGACAGACUCGACCUCGGCUUCGGAGGAGCUUCCACAUCGCCCAACCUAGGGCGCAGACCAGCCACGUCAACAGGAGGCGCCAUCAUCACCCCACCCCGAGCUGACUCGGGCCACAGGGAACAAGACCGGCGUCCCAUCUGGCUAGCUCCGCCAGAUAGACAAUGAUGGCGCCCCGCGUACUCUGUGACGAUGGCGGUUCUCAGCCCCCUUACGGAAGCAAGAGAAUGUCAGCAAGGACUCAACCGCUCCGACAGCUGUCCCUCCGCCAGGCUCCAUCGCUCCUCCGACGGCCACGACAUCACACCAGCUGGGUGCUAAAAUCUCUCCGGCUGCCACAACAGCAUGUACUUAGGGCGCUAGCUCUCCUCCGCUAGACACGUAACACUCUGCUACACCCCCCAUUGUACGCCUGGAUCCUCUCCUUACGCCUAUAAAAGGAAGGACCAGGGCCCUCUUAGAGAGGGUUGGCCGCGCGGGGACGAGGACGGGACAGGCGCUCGCUCGAAGCCGCUCGCUCCCUCCCCCGCGUGGACGCUUGUAACCCCCUACUGCAAGCGCACUCGACCUGGGCGCGGGACGAACACGAAGGCCGCGGGAUUCCCACCUCUCUCACGCCGGUCUCCGGACGCCUCGCUCUCCCCCCUUCGCGCUCGACCCAUCUGGGCUGGGGCACGCGACGACAUUCACUCGUCGGCCCAGGGACCCCCCGGUCUCGAAACGCCGACAGAUGAAAAAACAAGUUUAGGGAGGCUCUAAAUCCCCUUAAAUUUAAUUUUGUAGUGAUGGAUGUGAUAGAUCAAAGUCCCACCCUCACUUCUUCCAAAACUUAGCUCUUUCUCCCUCAAAACCAAAUAAACAUGCACCAUAAUAAAUUGUUGCUAUUUUGGGCACUUUAUAGAAAAACCCUUCGUUACAGAUGAGACUCGCAUGGUGUCAUUAAAUAUGCACCGUAACAAAUAUAUAGACAAUUUUUCUAUAAUGUAGUCUUUCAGAUGAGACUCGCUUGGUGUCGUUAAAGAUUUGCAAAAUCACAAGGGGUCCCAAGGACUGCCAAAAACAAUUGAAAUUUCGAAUGCCCGCACGGACACGCGUUGCCCUGAUCCAAUUCCAAGAUGCACGCGUGACGCUUAUAUAUAAUUGCCUCGGCCUGAUUCUUGUUUCUGAAACAACAAACAAAGACCAACAAUCCUUAGGUCAAGAAGUAGGAGCUGUAACUACAAGCCACCAUGCUGCUCAUCCUCGUUUUCCUGCUCUCCUUCUCCAGCUUGGACCUCCAAAUAAGUGGAGCAACGACUGACACUCUCACCUUGGGCCAGUCUCUCCCAUGGAACCAGACGCUGGUAUCCAAGGGCGGCAACUUCGAGCUCGGCCUCUUCUCGCCGGGCAACUCCAAGAAGCAUUACAUCGGCAUCUGGUUCAAGAAGGUCUCCAAGCAAACGGUCGUGUGGGUGGCGAACCGGGACAGCCCGAUCCUUGACCCGUCGGCCUCUCGCUUCACUCUGAGCAACCGCGGCGAGCUCCUCCUCCACGCGACGCCAUCGAACACCCUGCUGUGGUCGUCCAACGCGUCCUCCCCUUCGCCGCGCACCACCGUCGCCACGCUCCAGGAUGACGGCAACCUCGUGGUGCGGAGCAACGCGUCGUCGGCCCUCGUGGCGUGGCAGAGCUUCGACCACCCCACGGACACGUGGCUCCCCGGUGCCAGGCUCGGCUACGACAGGGCCCGCGGCGUGCACAGCUUCCUCACGUCGUGGACCGACGCGGACAACCCGGCGCCCGGCGCCUUCUCCAUGGAGAUCGACCCGCGCGGGCAGGCCAAGUUUGAUCUGCUCGCCGGCGGCACGCACCAGUACUGGACGACCGGCGUGUGGGACGGCGAGGUCUUCGAAAACGUGCCGGAGAUGCGGUCGGGCUACUUCGAAGGCGUCACGUACGCACCCAACGCCAGCGUGAACUUCUUCAGCUACAAGAACCGGGUACCGGGCAUCGGCAACUUCGUGCUGGAAACGAACGGGCAGAUGCAGCGGCGGCAGUGGAGCCCGGAGGCCGGGAAGUGGAUCCUCUUCUGCUCCGAGCCCCACGACGGGUGCGACGUCUACGGCUCGUGCGGGCCCUUCGGCGUGUGCAGCAACACCUCCAGCGCCAUGUGCGAGUGCCCCACGGCCUUCGCGCCGCGGUCGCGGGAGGAGUGGAAGCUGGGGAACACGGCCUCAGGGUGCGUGAGGCGGACCAAACUGGACUGUCCCAACGACGGCUUCCUGAAGCUGCCGUACGCCGUGCAGCUUCCGGGCGGUUCGGCAGAGGCGGCCGGAGCCCCGCGGAGCGACAAGAUGUGCGCUCUCUCCUGCUUGCGAGACUGCUCCUGCACUGCCUACGCUUACGAGGCAGCCAAGUGCUUGGUGUGGAACGGCGAGCUCGUCAGCCUUAGGACACUCCCUAACGAUCAAGGCGUCGCGGGGGCUGUUGUUCUUCACGUCCGUGUCGCGGCCUCGGAGGUGCCACCGUCUGCGGCGCAUCAUUCUUGGCGAAAAUCAAUGGUGAUCCUUAGCAGCUCGGUCUCCGCCGUGGUCCUACUCCUGGCGGGCCUCAUAAUCGUUGUCGCGGUGGCGGUGGUCGUGCGGAAGCGGCGGGGAAAGGGCAAGGUGACGGCGGUGCAGGGCUCGCUGCUGCUGUUCGACUACCAGGCCGUGAAAGCGGCGGCGCGGGAUUUCACGGAGAAGCUCGGCAGCGGCAGCUUCGGCUCGGUGUACAAGGGGACUCUCCCCGACACGACGCCCGUGGCCAUCAAGAAGCUCGACGGCCUGCGGCAGGGCGAGAAGCAGUUCCGCGCCGAGGUCGUCACCCUCGGCAUGAUCCAGCACAUCAACCUCGUCCGCCUCCGCGGCUUCUGCUCCGAGGGGAACAAGAGGGCGCUCGUAUACGAUUACAUGCCCAACGGCUCGCUGGACGCGCACCUGUUCAAGAACAGCUCGGGCUCCAAGGUCUUGAGCUGGAGCCAGAGGUUUGGCAUCGCAGUUGGCGUGGCCAGGGGGCUGUCUUACUUGCACGAGAAGUGCCGGGAGUGCAUCAUACACUGCGACAUCAAGCCAGAGAACAUCCUCCUUGAUGAGGAGAUGGGCGCCAAGGUUGCGGACUUCGGCAUGGCCAAGCUUGUCGGCCACGACUUCAGCCGCGUUCUGACCACCAUGCGGGGAACGAUGGGCUAUCUGGCGCCAGAGUGGCUCGCGGGCGCGCCGAUCACCGCCAAGGCCGACGUGUACAGCUUCGGCCUGCUCCUGUUCGAGCUCAUCUCGGGACGCCGGAACAACGGCUCCUCGGAGACAGGGUCCAACUCCGCUGUGUACUUCCCGGUGCACGCCGCCGUCAGGCUGCACGCGGGGGACGUGGUCGGGCUGCUAGACGACAAGAUCGCCGGGGAUGCCAACGUGGAGCUCGAGAGGGUCUGCAAGGUCGCGUGCUGGUGCAUCCAGGAUGAAGAAGGCGACCGGCCGACCAUGGGGCUCGUCGUGCAGCAGCUGGAAGGUGUCGCUGAUGUCGGCCUGCCGCCGAUCCCGUCACGGCUUCACAUGCUGGCGAUGAUGAAUAAAUGUGCCGUCGGUGGGGAAGCAGAGGUUGAACCCUGUUCAAAUAGCGGUAGCAAAAUAGACACAGAAGUUUGAAGGUACUACGCAGGUCCGAUAGGUAAUUGUAGUUUCAGCAUGCGAGUCCCAUUGUUCAUAUGCCUGUUUGCCGUAGCUGCUAAACUGUGAUUCUUCGCAAUCUGUCGCGUGAGUUCCUUUCCUGAUCAAACCAUCGCGCCUCCUGAGGUUUUGAACCAACUUUACGAAACCGCCCGUUGCCAAAACUGCAACCCCAUUCACUUACACUCACUUCUAGCUCUGUUCUGUACAACUUCAGGGUGGGAAAAUCAUCUAAUAACUACAAAGAAUACAGCAAACACAAACCUAGAACCCAACUAUCAAACUGUACAGAUUAACAGCUACAUGGACAAACCACAAAAGAAUGAAUGAAAUCACCGUAGAACUACAAUAACCGACAUCAUCAGGAUAUACACUUUACAUGUAAAGACGAAAUUGCUGCUGUCGAGGAGAGAGCCUUAAUUACAGAAAUGAACUUCAGAGACGCUUCUUCAGAGAACCACUUAAGUUUCCAUGUAUGUACUGUGCCGAUUUCCUCAGACUGCUUGUUUUGAGGAUUUUGGAUGCUAUUGUGAAACUCUCCUGGCCUACCAUUAUCCAAAAUCAAUGUCAAACAUUUGUUGUUGCGCUGAUCCAUGACCUGAAUGUACACAUUGCAGAACAAAAUCAACUUUCUGAAUGACCACUCAGAGUUUGUGGGGGCAAUAAACAAAACAAGAAGCACAAGCACCCUGUGUCCAUGCCAUGAAUAUGAUAAGGACUACCAUCAUAACUACAAUAUUUCAAGACUCAUUAAGGUAGCAAGUCACUACCCAUAUAUAGCAGCACCGUAACCACCCAGACAGUCCUCGGAAAACCUUCUCAUACAGAUUAAGAAACCCCCUAAACCCUCGCACCACCCAUACAUAGCGGUAUCGUAGGUCAUGUGAGCAUGUUAGGGGCCGGGACUUAGACAUAUGCUUUGGUGUGGGACAAACGAGGCUUCCACGGAGACCCCCCCUAAUUUUGAUAAUGAUUAGGCAGGUAAGAGCAGCAAUACAACAGCCUUGUAAUAGUUGAUAAUUUGAGUAUCAAUCUAAGGCAAAAAGUUAAUUUCCUUUCAGAACACAGUACAUAAUGACGGUAAAGUCAGAAACUUAUCAUUCCUAAGAAAAAAGUUAAUAGAUGGUUCGCAUAUUAGAUAUUAGACAACAUAUAUGAUUUCGUUUGACGGAGUUAAGAAAUGGUAUAUGAAAAUAACAAUGUUGCAAAUUAUCAUACAAUGAACCAGAGAAUUUAGAAUCGCAAAAAAAAUGCUACUUACCACUUCUCGGAUAUUGCUAAUAGAACAAGAUGCAUCAAGGGAAAAGUAUGGGGGAUUUGAAUCAUAAGGGAUACCACCAAACUGAUCUAGGUCCUCAAUGCACACCAAUAUGGAGCCUUCAAUGACAAAGAUGGAUCUAAUAAAAAGGGAGUCUUCUGCAGAAGAAAAAUGUCCAAUAAGGUUUCAGUAACUUGGAAGAGCAAUCAAGAAUAUUAAGUAGGAAAUGAUCAAUUGGAGUUAAGAGUGAAUAUUUAGGACAUGUGACAGCCAGGAGUUCACAUGAUUGUACCUGUAUACAAGUAUACAGUAGACAUCUACUUGAUUGACUAAAUCUACUAAGAUUUAACGAACAAUUAUAUACACAAGUAAUUUCCCUUGGAUAGGAGUACAGGGAAAGCAGCUAUUCCCGUGUCCGAACCAUGAACAGGCUUUAGAUCCCCCAAUAAUAUCAUUAUCGAUGCUUGUAUAUAUUUCUCUUUCUUUACCCUUUUUGCUGGUCGAUCAUAUUGGGUUUCAACUCUAGCAUACCCUAAGUUUCUUGGGACUAAAAAGAUAUAUUGUUGUUGCUAUAUAACAAACAAUCACUUAUUUGAGACCACUUAACAUUGGACCCAUAGUUAAUAUAAGGCUAAAGAAAUAAACUGAAGACCAGACCAAUGUUUGCAGCAAAAAAGUAAUUCCAAUUAUCUACUAUAUAAAACACCAAUUUCCAGGGUUUCCACCAUUGUCGUGCUCCCCACAUUUAAAUGGUAAAAAAACUAUAAUUAUGUACAAAUGGAGAUUCGAACAAUGGUUGUUUGCUUCAAACCCACAUGGCCACAUUCAACCCCACCACCCAACAGAACACAUGUCUUUAUGUUUUAUACUCUAUACUUAUAAAUGGAAACCGUAGCAACGUGUGUGCACUUUGGUAGUUUAGUUACAAUGCAGAGUUCAAAGAAUGAGAAGGUAGUUCUGAUGUGUCCCAUGAAUAAAAUAUAGGAACGUUUCAUCACCCAUAUUGCCAGACAAUGGUACCUUCAACGUCAUUCCUCCAGAACAUCAACAUAGAGUAGAGAAAUAUUCCCGUAUUUGCAGUUCUGCGUAUAAUACAUUUCUCGAACAAUUUGACUUGGAUGUUCUCCCAACUGCCAUUUAAAUUGCACAAUAAGCAUAAUAAAAGACAUGGAGUAUAAGUUUAAAAAACAAGAUAAGCAUUCUUCAUUUGGCUCAAAAAGAAUAUUAUUAUUUUGUGGUGAGUAUAGAAACUACCAAGACUAUACCUUUGAAAAUGUAUCUUGUGGUUUAAUUUGGGGAAGUUAGUUACGCUCAAGAGCCAAAGUACAUCUUGCGCUUCCUUGGAAGUCCUUGUGAUGAAUAGAUGAGUUGUAUCAUCUGACAUGUGUACUCUGUACAUUGAAAAAUAAAAGUAAGCCUCAGGUAAACUAAGCCACCACUGUGGAUACUGGUUAAUAUGCUAACACACCUCAGCGCCUGUAGUCCCAGCCCAAUUGAAACUUUUUCUAGACUUUGCAGACUAUAGCUGCCCAAAAUUCUUGGCAUGAUUUCUGUAAAUUAACCAUUAAUCAAUAGAUUCAAAAUUACGGCAAUAACAAAGGUCCAAAAUAGAGAUAUGGGUAAUAAAAGCUUCUAUCAAGCAAAUGAUUGUGUAAAUGGCCUGUCAUUGUUAUCAAACAAAAACAAGGAAACUAGAAACAUGAUUCAGAUGGUGAAAAUAAACAACAUGCAGGAAAUUAACUAGUUAUACCUUGUCCAUCAAAAACCAUAUCAAGUAGUAGCAGAUACAAUUUGUUUUGAGAACUUCGCAGCAAGGCUACCUCUCUACAGAAAGAAAAAAAGAAAAAUUGUCAACUAUAAAUGGUAUAAACUAUGAUGGUGAAUACAUACUAACUGCAUGUCCAGGAAAUUUCAGUUCCUUCAGACUUAAAAUGACAUUUAAGCAAUGUAGUUUACAAUUAAAUACAGGAAACAUCUAGUUAGUUAAAUGAAGAUGGGUUUUUGGUUUCAAUAGAGAUGCUAUUGGUAACUGCUUAAUGCAUUAGCGAAUGGAAGCAGCUGCAUGCCUGUUACCAUGCAAUAGAAUUGGUAAAGCACAUAUGUAACUGGUGCAUAUAUAUAAAGGGUAGCACCAACUACCCUAUACAGCAAGUCAAGAACAAGCACAUUUAUUCUUUAACUAAUAAGCAAAUUGAAAGUGCUGCAGAGGUAUAUUCCUUUGGAUUAAAAAUAGCUGACAGACAAAGAGGUGAUUACAUUCAUCUGACAUGUUGUACUCAAACCAUAAACCUUCUUUUCUCUUCAUUUUUUUCUUCAGAGUACUAAGUUCUUAACCUUUAAACUUACAGAAUGAUACUGCUCUACAUAGUUGUCAUAGUGGCAACGACUACUAUGCAAGCAACCAUUAGGUGCAAGCGUGCAACCAGAUAUCUUGGUCCUUUAGAUCUAAAAAAACUCGGCCGGAAAGGGGAAGACCACUCUCCCAGUAUUAUAUUAAGAAGAGACUGAAACAUGGUCCCGGCCGAGAAAAUCUCCAAACCCUGCCCCCCAUCACUAGCGGGCCGUCACCACCCACUCUGCAACGCCCAACCGGAGGGUGGCGCGCAGGACGUAACCCGAGAGUGGGCAGGGCACAGCGAGGGGAUUUUUUAAACAAGCCCGAAAUUCGCUCCCGAGAGGGAUCGAACUCGGGACCCAGAGGUGCUACUUGAAAGCCUUAACCAUUACGCUAGAGACCCUUUCGCUAUUUCGUUAGAUCUAGAUCCAACUGUAUUAUAUAUUUAGCACUUAAACCCUUCCACCACCACCUCGUGUAGCUUUAUAAAGAACCCCUAACAAAUCACGACUACAUAUACGGUUAGAUCUAGAUCUAACAUGCCAAGAGACUUGCUUGCACGGUUGCACCUAAUGGUUGCUUGCAUAAUAGUAGUUGCCCUACAUAGUACUCAGUAUUCACAGAAGUUCGACAAAACAUUAUUCACAAGUCUUGUAGCCCAACAAAGUACAUGUUUUCACUUAGCUCAAUCAUAUGGUGCGUUCCAAUUCAUAUGCUUAUAACAUUUUCAGAAAUGGAGAAUACAGAGAAAACGACUCGCCUUUGAACUAAACCACUUGAAUCCUGAAACAUGUGUGCGCAACAAGCUACUUGUUCACAUGUUUCAAACCCAUCCUUGUCCGCUAUUUCCAAGUUGAAGAAAUCCUCAAGAGUGUUGUGUUCGCCUGUGUUAAUUGUGCAAACAGAUGAAUUGUUCUUAUGAAGGAUAUUAGAAGAAUGACUUUUAGAGCCUUCCUUGUGAGUACUUUUGCUUGGGUUGCAUGUCAACUGGCCAUUUCCUUCAACUAAAACAUGCUCAGCCACCUGAUCGUCAUUCAUUUUUGGAUUUUCUAGUUUGGUACCAUUAUGAUUCUUGAAAGGAAAUACCCUCCACUUAAACUUCUCCUUGCCUUUUUGCCCAAUUAAAUGGCCUAAAUAAUGCCCUAGAUGGCCAUUUCUCUGGUUACUGUUAUGGAACUCCUCAAUAUCAAACUCUCUGUGAUCUGAACAACUCGGCUCACCUUCUUCUGGAUGGUCAGACAAAGUAUUCUCCCCUGAAAAAUGCUCUAAGUUAUUAUUCGCCUCAUGAUCAUCACCAUUUACAGAAGGAAAUAAAACCAUCUGGCCAUUAAGAGACAACUCCAUCUUUGUCUGAAUUUCUUCAUAAUCAUCUUCAGAAUUGCAUGAACCAAAAUCACUCGAAGAACCAUCGCUGCAGCUGCUACCACUACCAAGUGAACCAAUAGAAUGAAGAUGUCCUGAAAUCUGCAAAAAUUCUUCCUCCAUAAAAAGUCUUCGAUGUAGAAUGUCCUCCUUGUAUUGUGGAGGUGACUGUGGACUUGAAUAUGUAUGGGGUGGACUUGAUUCUAUUAACUUGCUCAUUGUAUUGGAUGGUGUCCCAUUUGCCAGCAUAUUUCUAGAGCCAUUUUCCAACUCAGAAAAGGGGUCAGUUUGUGAAGUGGCUACUAACUCUAGAGGAGGAGGUCGUUGAAAAGAAUUCAAGUGCAUUUUUAGAUGAUCUUGGUCAAAAUUAAGUUCAUUUGAGGAUUGUUUGAUGACUCCAUUUGAACCAGAAAAUGCAUUAUCUGUGAAAGAUGAAUCUGAUUCCAAAAGGUUUGAGCUACUACCACCUUCUGAAACUUGUACCAAAUCCGACAUGUUAUUUGAAGUCUCCUUGUGUGCUUUCUGCCUUUUCUUUUGUUUGAUAUACUUCCCAUUGCCAUUAGUUAAGCCAACAGAUAGGUUGUCGCCUUCUGUUUUCUCUGUAUUGUCAUCCAUCCACUCCUUAAAUUCACAAAGCCAAUUACUUGACUUUUCUUUCUUCAGCAUUUCGGCGGUGUUUAUCAACGAAGCAAUUAUUAGGUCAUGAUCAACAGCUGCAGUUUCAUCCUUCUUGGAACUGUCACUAUCACAGUGGGUGGACUGCUGCUCUACACCAUCACAGAGAUUUCUCUCUUCCUCCACUAUGCUCACAAGUCGGGAAAAUUUUCUCUACAGUAAAUGAAAGAGAACCGAUAUCAUUUGAUUGCUAAAGUAGUCGUGCAAGGCUAGUUUACUGUAUCAUUUUUGCAAAGGAUGUAAGGCAUAUCUUGCACUUCUAAAAAUAAAGAUCACAUCUACCGUCUGGGAUGAACCAGCUAGAGACCAAAUUCAUGAAAGUAUUACCUUCUUUGUUGCAUGUGAAAACUAAAAAAGAGUGCAAAUGGAACAAAACACAUGCAUGAUUGCUUCACCACAAUAUUGUCAAAUCAUCUAUGCUUAAGGAGAAUAGUAACAGAAAAAAGUUCCAACCAAGGAAUCUUGAUAUAUGGUGCUACAUGCAAUGACGAAUUUAGUGCAACUGGCAUAAUGGAACAACAGGUACAUACCAUCUUCAAAUUCAAUAUGUCUUCAUCUUCAUGAUCAUCAAUUGCAGGAAAAUAAAAUCCAUAACCAGCAGGUUGAUUUUGCCUGCAUGCAAACAAUACUUGCUUUUCCCAGUAUUCUUGUGUGUUCAUACCUUUAUCAUCUAGCUUCAACUGAACCAGAAAAGGCAGGAACAAACUAUUAUGACGGGGGAAAUUUAAGAAACAAAAAGAGUCCAAUAUUUGAAGUCAAAUACUUACAUUCUCUGGAUUACGAAAAAAACUGAACACAUGUGCUCGAUACCACCGGGCACAGCAGAUUGGGUUGCCUUCCAACCAGAGGUUUUGCAACAGAGGUAGAGUGCCGAGGAUUUCCAAUUCUGAGAAAAUUGAGAUGAUAUUGUAAGAGAGAUCAAGCCCCAUGAGUGACUUGAGAUUUUCAAUCCCGUUUACUGUAGUUAAAGCAUUAUUUCUCACAACAAGUUUUACGAUUCGACUGGAAACCUGCAAGAAAGCACAUGUAACUGUAGAUACCACUAAUGAGUGUAAUCGCAAUAAGCUAGUCUGCAGCGCAAUGUUCAGGAUUAUAAAAGAAAUGCUUACCUCACUCAAGGAUGAAAUCGAACGCAAAUGAUUAAAUCCGAGAUCCAGAUUUCGCAACUUUGUACAUUUCUGCAGAUUGUCCACCUUUGCAAACUUGUUGCGACUAAGGUCCAAGGUUUCAGUUGCAGGUAACAAUUGCAACGACUCGUCCAUGAGUACUACACCAUUAGAUGCACAUGAGACAUAUGAAAGUUUGCUCCAUACAGGGGAGUCCUUGAUAUCCAUGAUUCUACUCGCAAAGACAUGCCUAAGAGCAUCCUGCGGUAGCAUGAAAGUCAACUAAUGCGAGUUUGGCCAAAAUAUUCACAUGACAUGGAAGUGCUUAGAAAUGAAAGCUGGAUCCAAAUAACUACUUGAGGAAGAGAUGAUUAAUGCUAGUAUGCUACUACUCUUGCUAGACGAAUUGUUUGGUGCUUGCUGAACAUUUGACAAUAUACCACAAUCCAAUCAAGUUACAGACACCAAAGCUGCAACCAAAUACUAGAGUUUUCCACAUGCAUGCUCAAUUUUGUUGCAUAUUACAUCAGCCAACAAAGAACAUUACAACACAAUGUACAAUGGCUGAUAUCUGAGACUUGUCCAAGCCACAUGGAACAGGGAAUAACAGAAAAGCUAGAGGAAGAGAUGUCAUGUGCUGUUCAGGAAGCAUUGCUCCCUUGAUACUCCCUCCAUUAAAAAAAUUAUAAGACGUUUUAGUUUUCUUGAUACAGUGCUUUUAUUAUGUAUCUAAACAUAGUGUAUAUCUAGGUGCAAGUUAUGAAUCUAGAACCAAAACGUCUUUAUAAUUUGAAACUGAGAGAGAGUAGUUUUUAAGGAGACUGUAAAUCUCGAACUCUUGAACUCUAUGAAUAGUAAAUGUCAACCAAAAUUGUCUUCAUAACUUGUAAAAGAAAGUAGAAGAUGCAUGCAGCUAUACAGAUCACAAUGUGUUGUGUCCAUCAGGAGGCCACGUGGAUGAAGGUUUUUUAUGCCAAAGCUUAUUAAUUAGACCGUGAGAAUAAAUAUAUCAAGCGCAGCAGGGAUGGUUGCUGCAGUUGCAUAAAUGGUAUCUGCAGCACAAGCAUUGAUAUAAAUAAAGCCCUGCAGGUGCUCAGGACUUGAGAUGCUCUGCAAGACGCCAAAAUCUAUUUAACUCAGAGAAACCAAGUUCAUUUCGAGUUGAGUAAAGAGUGGUUGAUGAUGACUUAAAAUAUUAUUUAAAAAAAAUCCAUAAACAUGACCUCAAACUAUAAUAAACAUAAGUACUAGAAGGCAUCUUAGCACGAAUAUCAAAUUGACUGACGAAAUGCUGAGUAAACACUGAACAGAAUCCGAUCGCAUCCUUGGAAUAUAAAUCAAAAGUGUGACCAUAUUCGUCCAGCAAACAGGUUAAAAGUCUAAGUAUUGAAGCAAAUAGGAUAAAAGCCAUGGCGCGUUACUAGCUGUAGAUGAACCAGAACAGCAAACUGUAGUUACAAUUUGGCAGUUCAGAAUAGCUCAUGGUAGUUGAGGAUCAUAAUUCAUGAGUAAGGCCUGUGGUCACACAGCGAAUUGCCGCAAACACCGAAUUCCAAAGGAAAUUGUACGUCGGGUGGCAUAAACGCACCGUAGAAUUGAAACAGACGAGCUUCUCGAGGGUGUGUCGGAGCUCGAGAAGGCCCCUGGCGGCCGAGGUAGAGAGGUCGCAGCCCCGCAGCUCGAGCACGCGCAGGCGCGCGAAAGGCAGGAUCGAGAGCGGCGCGGGGUCGCGGCGGGGCCCCGGGGCGACGACCUUGAGCGAGGUGAGGAGGCGCAGGAUCCGCCGUAGCUGCUCGAGCGCUCGGUGGUCGCCAAGGUCCGCGACGUAGGCGCGGAGGUAGUCGACUGGGGCGCCGGCGCCCACGGCCUCGAGCUCCCGGAGCGCCUCGAGGCGGGAGGCGACGUAGUGGAGUCCGACGGGGUGGAGGCGGAGGGUGACGGUGCCGUCGAGCAGCGCGCCCGCGUUGCGCGCCACGAAGCGGACGAGCAGGUCGAGGUAGUGGUCGCCGGUGACCGGGGACGCCGGGGACCCCGCGCGGGGCGUGCCCAUCGGGAUCGAGGCUAGGGUUUGGGGGUGGGAGCGCGCCGGCGCAUCCGCGAGCGGCGGGGCGGACGCGAGAGGAGGUGGAGGGUGGAGACGGGACGGGGGAGGGAGGAGGAUGCAAGCGGACACGCCCCCGCGGUGGUACGUAUGAUUGGGGGACACGCGGGCUAGCUGUGGUGCGGUGCUGGAGAGGGAACGGAAGGCGACGCGAUGCAGAUGUACGAAGCAACCGCGGUUUGCGAUCCGCGGUUUCGUUCUCCAAAGACUUGGUUUGUUGGAGCUAAACGGACGGAAUCGCGCGGGACGGACGGGCGGCCGUCUGGAUCUGGCGUGGGUUUGGCCGUGUUUUGCAGUUUCCGGCGCUGGCAUUGAGCUGCGUGCGCGGUUACGGCUGUGCGCGCGUUGGCGUUUUGUUGGGCCUGUAGGCUGUAGCAAAAGAGCCGCGAGUUUGGAGUGUGGUGGCUGGCGGCUUGGAGCGUUUUUCUGGGUUGGAGCGCGGAUCGCCAAGGCCGUCGUCCGAUUCCUAGCUCUGGCAGUCUGGCCCAUCGUUGGCUUCACUAAUCACUACUAUAGGCAUGCCGGUGAAUUUUUUUUGGCAUUUUGGAAUUGGAUUGUUCUAGAGUACUUAGCUUCAUUUGAUCCACCUAGUUUGUUGGGUGAAGUUGGGCUUGAGAUUAGGAUUUAAUCUUUUGCAAGAAAUUUAUAAAAGCCCAAUUCACCCCAUCUUGGACAUCACAAACCUUUCAAUUGGUAUUAGAGUCAUGUUCCUCCUAUAUUAGCUUAUCCGUUAGAGUAACGAUGUACAAUGGGAAUGAACCUCUUCCAUGUUUGAUGGUGACAAUUUUCCAUAUUGAAAAAUUUGUAUGGAAGCAUACUUAGAGGUCAUAGAUAUUAGAGUUUAUUGGGCCGCCACCCAAGGGUCUCCCUAACCUAGAGAUCUCGCAAAUCUCUUACGUGUGAGAUUAACUAUGAGAAAUGUAAUGCAAAGGCUAAGAACACUCUUUUUAGAGGCCUUUGAAAGGAAGUUUUCAAUAGCGUUAGAAAUCACAAAGAAUGCUCUUACUCUAUGGUCGGACAUUUGUGCCUUACAUGAAGGGGCUAAGUGCAAGUGUGAGGAACAUUACCACAUUGUGAUGAAAAAGUUAAAUUCUUUUGUAAUGCUUCGAAAUGAAAAUGUCAAUGACAUGUACUCACGCUUAACUAUUUUUGUAGAAGAAGUGAAUGACUUGGGGCUCACACAACUCACACAACUGGAUGUUGUGAGGAAAAUUCUUAGUGGGUUGCCCAUCGAAAAGUACAACCGCAUUGUCACUGUGCUUCAUCAAAUGGAUAUUUCCAUCACCACGCCAACUCAAAUAUUGGAAAGAUCAAUGUUCAUGAGAUGUACAUGCACAUCAAUGGACAAGAUGGCUCUUCUUCUAAGAAGAAGGAUUUAGCGCUCAAGGCAAAUCAAGAGAAGAAUUGCAAGGACAAAAUUCUGAUAAAUGAAUAAAUAUCAAGUGAUGAUGAUUUCAACGAUGCCAAGAUUGCUUUGUUGGUAAAUAAAACUACAAAAAUGUUGAAAAAGCUAAAUCGAGAAGGCAUCAAGUUUGAGUCAAGAAAGAAGAAAUUCUUCACUAGUAGCAAGAGGAAGCCAAUCUCGAAAAUGGAUUAAUAUAACUAUGAAGAACUUGGCCAUCUUGCUCAUCGAUUUACCAAGCCCAAGAAAACAAGUUCAAGGGCAAGAAAAAUGCUGAUAGUGAAGAUGAAAAUAAAGAAAAGAAAUUCUUCAAUAGAAAAUAUGGCAAACAAAAAGAAAUUCCACAAGAGAAAAGGUGGAAAAGCAUACAUCGUUGGUGAUUGGCUCGCCAACAUUGAAUCCACAAGCGGCUAUUCCUCAAGCGAAAAAGAUGGUGAAAAGGUCGUCGACAUCGCCCUGGAUUUCUCUUCACCACCACCAUCGCUGUCACCACUACACACCUAUGCCUUAAGGCUAAAGGUGAUCGGAAGGUAGAAAAUUAUAUUUCUAGUGAUUGUGGUAGUGAUAGUGAUAAUAAGUAUGUUUCUCCUACUUAUGAUGAGCUAGCUGAUUUUCUUAAGGAAUAUACUCAAGUUAUUAGAAAAGAUAAGGCAAAUGUGGCAAGCUAAAAAUGAGAAUAUGAUUGCUAAAUAUGUCAUAGUAGUGAAAGAUAGUGAUGAAAUGAAAGAGGAGAACUGAAAGUCGCCUAGAGGGGGGUGGAUAGGCGGAAUCUGAAAUUUACAAACUUAAGCACACACUACAAGCCGGGGUUAGCGUUAGAAUAAAUGUUAAGUCCGGGAGAGAGGGGAAAACAAAUCAACCAAGAAAUAAUGCGGAUGAACACGAUGAUUUAUUUUACCGAGGUUCGGUUCUAAAGAACCUAGUCCCCGUUGAGGUGGUCACAAAGACCGGGUCUCUUUCAACCCUUUUCCUCUCUCAAACGGUCACAUAGACCAAGUGAGCUUUCUUCCUUGAUUUCCCGGGUCACUUAGACCCCGCAAGGACCACCACACAAUUGGUGUCUCUUGCUUCGCUUACAAGGCUUUAAGAGUAAGAAUGAGAGAAAGAAGAAAGCCAACCAAGCAACAAGAGCAACAAAGAAACACAAGACGGUCUUCUCACAAGUCCUAAAAUACUAGAGUUGAAUUGUGGACUUUGAUUGGAUCGGAGGCUUUGAUUUGUGUCUUAGAGUGUUGCACUUUGCUCUUGUAUUGAAUGGAGAGUGUUGAAUGCUUGGAUGGUUAGAGUGGAGGUGGUUGUGGGGUAUUUAUAGGCCCCAACCACCAAUUCAACCGUUGGGGCAGGCUGCUGUCGAUGGGCGCACCGGACAGUCCGGUACACCAGCCACGUCACCCAAUCGUUAGGGUUCUGACGAUUUCGACCGUUGGAGCUUUGUCUUCAUGUGGCAUCGCACAGUCCGGUGUCGCACCGGACAGGCACUGUUCACUGUCCGGUGUGACUUCUGGCGGCUGCUCUAAUCUCUGCGCGAACUGUCUGCGCACUGUAGCUUGCAGGCGACCGUUGCAGGCGACCGUUGCGCUGGCUACCCGUUGCUCCGCUGGUGCACCGGACAGUCCAGUGGCACACCGGACAGUCCGGUGAAUUAUAGCGGAUCAGCGCUUCUGAAACCCGAAGGUGGCAAGUUCGGAGUGGUACGGCCCUGGUGCACCGGACACUGUCCAGUGGCACACCGGACACUGUCCGGUGCGCCAGACCAGGGUUCUCUUCGGUUUCUUUUUCUCCUUUCUUUUGAACCCUAACUUGAUCUUUUUAUUGGUUUGUGUUGAACCUUUAUGCACCUGUAGAAUAUAUAAUCUAGAGCAAACUAGUUAGUCCAAUUAUUUGUGUUGUACAUUUCAACCACCAAAAUCAUUUAUAGGAAAAAGGUUAAUCCUUAUUUCCCUUUCAAUCUCCCCCUUUUUGGUGAUUGAUGCCAACACAAACCAAAACAAAUAUAUAAGUGCGGAAUUGAACUAGUUUGCAUAAGGUAAGUGCAAAGGUUGCUUGGAGUUAAACCAAUUUAUACUUCUAUUAGAUAUGCAUGGUUGGUUUUCUUUUAUUUAACAUUUUGGACCACACUUGCACCACAUGUUUUGUUUUUGCAAAUACUUUUGGAAAAUCAUUUCAAAGUCUUUUUGCAAAUAGUCAAAGGUAUAUGAGUAAGAUUUCGAGAAGCAUUUUCAAGUUUUGAAAUUUUUCCCCUAGUUUCAAAUGCUUUUCCUUUGACUUAACAAAACUUCCCCUAAAUGAAAUUCUCCUCUUAGCUUUCAAGAUGUUUUUACCAAUUUGAGAAACUCUUGAAAUUAAACAUACCAAAAUAUAUCAAUUCGAAAGGUGGUGGUGCGGUCCUUUUGCUUUGGGCUAAUACUCUCUCCCCCUUUGGCAUUAAUCGCAAAAAACGGAGACUUUUGUGAGCCCUUUUUACUUUCUCUUCUAUUGGUAAAUGAAAUGUGAGUGAAGAUUAUACCAAUCGAAGAGUGGUGUGGAGUGAUGGCGAAGUGUAAAUGAUACCGAUAGAGUAGAGUGGAAGCCUUGUCUUCACCGGAGACCCAUUUCCCUUUCAAUCUACGACUUAGGGGGUGUUUGUUUGGGAUUAUAAUCCACCUAGAUUAUAUAAUCCAACAAUUUUUGAACUAACUCUUAGUUCAAAAGUUGUUAGAUUAUAUAAUCUGGAUAGAUUAUAAUCUCAAACAAACACCCCCUUAGCAUAGAAAAACACUUGAAAACACAUUAGUUGUAGACAUAAAAGAGAUAUGAUCAAAGGUAUAUAAAUGAGCUAUGUGUGCAGUGUUUCAAUCAAAAUUCCGAAAAUCAAGUAUAUUUAGCUCAUUCCUAAGUUUGUUAAAGGUUUUCUCAUCUAAUGGCUUGGUAAAUAUAUUGGCUAAUUGUUCUUUGGUGCUAACAUAAGCAAUCUCGAUAUCCCCCUUUGUUGGUGAUCCCUCAGAAAGUGAUACUGAAUAUCUAUGUGCUUAGUGCGGCUGUAUUUAUAGGUGUACAUUUGGGCCGGGCCUGGUGGGCCGGCCCGAAGCACGGAAAAAAAGCACGGCCCAGGCACGGCACAACCCGAAAUAAUUUAGUGCCGGGCCGGCACGACCCGUUAUAUCGGGCCAGGUUUGGGCCGAGGUCACGGCCCAUGGGCGGGCACGAGCACGGCCCGUUUAAGGCAGGCACGAAAUGGCCCAUAUAGAGGCACGAAAAGGCCCAUAUAUUUAUUAAAACUACACUUCAUUCCACACUUUUAUAUACUUGAUAAAUAACACAAAGCUAGAGAUAAUGCUAGUUAGAUGUUUUUUGUAGCUUUGAAUUAGAGUGUGUGAUGUAAUUUUGCUUUUGUUAUGAACAUUAGACAAUAAACUGAACUUACGAACUUUGUAUAGAGCUGAUUAUACUCUUUUUCCUUCUAACAAAAUGAUUUAUAAACGAGGUAGUCAUUGCAUAGCUGUGGUAACUUUAAUACAAAUACUAAGUUUGAUUUUGUUCAAAUUUAUUUGUCUUAUUUUUUAUUUGUUUUAUUAUUUUUUUGAAUUUAGGGCUCUAAUGUGAAUUUUGGGCCUAAAAUUGAAUUUCGGGCCGUAAUGUGAAUUUCAGGCUUUUAUAAUUUCGGGCCGCCCGAAAUGAGCCCGGCACGUUUAAGCAAUUACGGGCCGGGCCGUGGGCCGAGGGCUAGGCCCAUGGGCCGGCCCGGCACGACCCGAAAUUCAAACGGGCCGGGCCAGCCCGAAAUUCAAACAUUACGGGCCUUUUCGGGCUUGGGCCGGGCCGGGCCGGGCGGCCCGAAUGUACACCUAUAGCUGUAUUCAACGGGAUUAUCCGCCAUGCGGAUUGCGCUCUCAUUGUCACAUAGGAGAGGGACUUUGCUCAAUUUGUAGCCAUAAUCCCUGAGGGUUUGCCUCAUCCAUAGUAAUUGCGCAUAACAAUGACAUGCGGUAAUAUACUCGGCUUCGACGGUAGAAAGAGCUACUGAGUUUUGUUUCUUUGAAGCCCAAGACACCAGGGAUCUUCCCAGAAAUUAACAAGUCCCUAAUAUGCUCUUUCUAUCAAUUUUACACCCUGCCCAAUCGGCAUCUGAAUAUCCUAUUAAAUCAAAGGUGGAUCUCUUGGGGUACCAAAGUUCAAACUUAGGAGUAUAAAUUAAAUAUCUCAUGAUUCUUUUCAUGGCCCUAAGGUGAACUUCCUUAUGAUCGGCUUGGAACCUUGCACACAUGCAUACGGAAAGCAUAAUGUCUGGUCGAUAUGCACAUAAAUAGAGUAAAGACCCUAUCAUCGACCGGUAUACCUUUUGAUCUACGAAUUUACCUCCCGUGUCGAGGUCGAGAUGCCCAUUGGUUCCCAUGGGUAUCUUGAUGGGCUUGGCAUCCUUCCUUCCAAACUUGUUGAUUAUGUCUUGAAUAUACUUUGUUUGGCUGAUGAAGGUGCCUUUUUGGAGUUGCUUGACUUGAAAUCCUAGGAAAUACUUCAACUCCCCCAUCAUAGACAUCUCGAAUUUUUGAAUCAUGAUCCUACUAAACUCUUCACAAGUUGAUUUGUUAGUAGACCCAAAUAUGAUAUCAUCAACAUAAAUUUGGCAUACAAACAAAUCUUUUGCAAUGGUUUUAGUAAAGAGAGUAGGAUCGGCUUUUCUGACUUUGAAGCCAUUAGUGAUAAGGAAAUCUUUUAGUCAUUCAUACCAUGCUCUUGGGGCUUGCUUGAGCCCAUAAAGCGCCUUUGAGAGUUUAUACACAUGGUUAGGGUACUCACUAUUUUCAAAGCCGGGAGGUUGCUCAACAUAGACCUCUUCCUUGAUUGGUCCAUCGAGGAAGGCACUUUUCACGUCCAUUUGAUAGAGCUUAAAGCCAUGGUAAGUAGCAUAGGCAAGUAAUAUGCGAAUUGACUCAAGCCUAGCUACGGGUGCAUAGUUUCACCAAAGUCCAAACCUUCGACUUGUGAAUAUCCCUUGGCCACAAGUCGGACUUUGUUCCUUAUCACCACACCAUGCUCAUCUUGCUUGUUGCGGAAUACCCAUUGGGUGCCUACAACAUUUUGAUUAGGACGUGGAACUAAAUGUCAUACCUCAUUCCUCGUAAAGUUGUUGAGCUCCUCUUGCAUUGCCAACAUCCAAUCUGAAUCUCUUAAUGCAUCCUCCACCAUGUAUGGCUCAAUUGAGAGCACCUAGAGGGGGGGGGGGUGAAUAGGUGAUCCUGUAAAAACUUGAAACUUAUAGCCACAAAACUUGGUUAAGUGUUAGUAGGCUAAAUAGCGAGCUCUUGUGAACACAAGUACCAUAGAAAAGCAAUCACAAAAGACACGCGAGUUAUCCCGUGGUUCGGCCAAGUACAACACUUGCCUACUCCACGUUGUGGCGUCCCAAUGGACGAGGGUUGCACUCAACCCCUUUCAAGUGAUCCAUGGAUCCACUUGAAUACCACGAUGUUUCUUUCUUUUCACUAUAUCCCGUUCGCGAGGAAUCUCCACAACUUGGAGCCUCUCGCCGUUACAAAUGAUGAUCACAAAGAAGCACGAAUGUAAGGGAGGGAAAAGCAACACACACAAGUCUCAAAAGCAACAACUCAAACACGCACACUAGUCACAACUUGAGCUCUAAGUUCAUACACGGAGUUCUCAACUCAAGAGGAGCUCAAAUUGCUAUCACAAAGAAUCAAACGCGCUAGAAUGAAGACUUGGUGCUUAGAGAUGAUCAAAGAAUGCUUGGUAUGCUCCUCCAUGCGCCUAGGGGUCCCUUUUAUAGCCCCAAGGCAGCUAGGAGCCGUUGAGAGCUGUUGGGGGCCUUCGGCUUCCGAAGGUCCUCAAAAACAUGAUUUGACAAUGUUUUCCAAGUGAAAUAUGUGAACAGGUAUCUUUAGAAUCGGGUUAUGAGUAUACAAGAGUACGGUCAGGACGAAGCUUGAGUGAGACGGAAGGCGAUUAUGACGAAGGAUAAGAUGAUCACGAAGCUAUGUACAGAAAAGCUUCGGCAUGACAGCAGAAAAUGGGAACCGACUUAAAGACGAAAAGGCAAAUUAGACCCCGAAGAAUUACUAUAGAGUUAUUGAUAAAUGUAAAGGGCAUUAAUGUAAUUCUACACGGGCUGCGUCCCUUGCCUAUAAAUAGAUGAACAGUACUCCCGUACUGUUCAGGCUGACUUGGCAUUCGCUUUUUGCAUCACGCGUUGUACCUUUACUUUCCGUCAAACCGAAGGUACAUUUAUAAUUUGUCAUUCUGGAUAUAAUAAUGCAAAUAAAAAUAAAUUGGUGAUAAUAUCUAUAUCAUUCCUCAUAUUUCGAGUACAAAUUCUUCCUAUCAUCUAUUGUGCUUACGAAGGUUUUUUCCUUCAUAAUCUUCGUCCGGAAUUCAUUAUAUCCGAAGGGAUAUAAUGUCUUGAAGGACGAAGGACUUUAAUAUUUAACACAUUUUAUGUUGCCUUGUUCUUAACUCUUAGCAUUUGAGAACAAGUCCCCAACAUUGGCGCCCACCUCCGGUGAACUCACGUCCAUUUUUUGAGUUUUGAACACCUUCGGCAAGCAUCACCUUCGUCAUGCCGCCGAAGAAAGCUUCAGCCACAGGGGCUGCCACUCUGCAGCCGCUGGAUCCCAAUCAGGAUGUCCUUUCUCUUAGGGAAGCCCGAAGCCAGAAGAGGAAGGCCACCAGUCCAACGCCUCCGGAGGACGACUUGGAUCAAGAAAUCCAAAACUUGGAGAUGCUCCAUCAACAGGUCCAACGGAAGAAGGAAAAGAUGGCUCGUCUAGCUAACCUACAAAGGCAGAUAGAUGAAGCCUCUGAAGAAGUUCGUCAUCUUGCUCAAGAUGACCAGAACCGAAGGCCUCCGCGCAGAGAGCUUCAUCGGGAGGGCUUUUACAACGAGGACGACUGGUAUGAAGAUUUCCAUCAUGGAAAUUUUGCUUUUGAUGAUACUUCUCCUCUGUCAACAGAACUGCAGGCUACACCUUGGCCCCAGUCUUACAAGCCACCCCAGCUCCCCAUGUACGACGGUCAUUCAGACCCGAAGCAAUUCUUGAUGAGCUAUGAAGCAACCAUAUCUUCGUAUGGUGGCAAUACUGCAGUCAUGGCAAAGUCUUUCGUCAUGGCUGUCAAGAGUGUUGCACAAACCUGGUACUCCUCUCUUCGGCCAGGAACAAUCACCUCAUGGCAAAAGCUGAAGGACAUGUUGAUAACCAGCUUCCAAGGGUUUCAAACAAAGUCGGUCACUGCUCAAGCUUUAUUCCAGUGCACCCAGGACCACGAAGAAUACCUUCAGGCGUAUGUCCGAAGGUUCCUGCGUCUGAGGGCACAGACACCAACAGUGCCCAAUGAAAUUGUCAUUGAGGCCAUGAUUAAGGGGCUUCGGCCGGGACCUUCAGCUCAGUACUUUGCCAGGAAACCUCCUCAAACUUUGGAGAAGCUGCUCCAGAAGAUGGACGAGUAUAUUCGAGCUGAUAAUGACUUCCGCCAAAGAAGGGAGGAAGCAUACAGGUUCUCUGAAAUGACCAGGGGCUUCGGAGGAAGAUUCCAUCCGAGGCACGUCAGGUCAAUUCACAACUCUACUCAGAGUGAUGAUAGAGGGAGUCAACAGCAAAGGCCACAAUACUCCUCGCAAGCUUCGGGGCAGCAGCAAAGCUCUUUUCGGCCACCAGCUCCAAGGGGCAGAGGCGCCAGGGGCUUCGGAGGAAGAUUUGGAGAUCGACCAAGGAAAAUUUACUGUCUAUUCUGUGGUGAGGACAAGGGCCAUACCACCAGGAUGUGCCAUGUUACCAUCCAGAAGCAAAAGGAGAUAGCAGAAGCUGCAGCACAACAGAGUCAGCCGAAGCAAGUCAUGCAUACUGCUUCGUACCAUUCGCCUUACAUUCCAGAAUAUGUAGGCAACCACUCUGCAUCUUCUGUUGCUUCGGCAAGCCAACCCCAAGCAUCUUGGCAACAUCCUCCACCUCCACCACCAACGCAACGAGGCCAACAGCCAGAAGGAAGUCAGCACACUCACCUUCAGUGGGACUUCAGAGAAGAGUCCGAAGCUCGCACAGUCAAUAGCACUGUGCCAGAGUCGAAGCAUAUUUACUAACAAAUAUCCUACCUCAACAGCAGCUUUUCGCAUUCAGUAUUACUUUCUUUUUAAUAAGGAACACUUAUGAGAGGCUUAAGUGCUUUUUGUAGUUUUUAAUCUCUUAUAACAAUUUUGCUUUUUACCACAAUGAAAAUAUAUCUUCUCCAUAGGCUCAAGUUGCUGAAGCAUAAGAAUUUAUGGUGGCAAGGAGGACCUUCGAAUUAUCAAACAUUUAUUCUAAAGGAACGCAGUGUAAAUUCUUCAAAGUAGCAAAAAGUCGUUCCUAAGGGAGCGCAGUGUAAGUUUUCUGCUCAAAAGUCGUUCUGAAGGGAAUGCAGAGCUUACAGCGAAAAAUAAACGCUGAUUCUGCUGAAAGUAAAAGGCGAAGAAGCUCCUAAGGGAGGCUUACAGCGAAAAAUAAACGCUGAUUCCGCUAAAAGUAAAAGGCGAAGAAGCUCCUAAGGGAGGCUUACAGCGAAAAAUAAGCGCUGAUUCCGCUGAAAGUAAAAGGCGAAGAAGCUCCUAAGGGAGGCUUACAGCGAAAAAUAAGCGUUGAUUCCGCUGAAGUAAAAGGCGAAGAAGCUCCUAAGGGAGGCUUGGAGUGAAAAAAUGUCAACCUUCAGCAAAUAUCACUUUGCAUAACAUCACAUCAUUACAUCAUUUGCAUAGCAUAACAUCAUACAUCAUAUUGCAUCAACAACGCAAGAAGGGGGUCUCGGUAUUGAUAUUCGAAGAUUGUUUUGAAGAAAUAGUGACAAGGCACAAAAAAUAGCUAUGGAAGAGUUAUACCUUCGUCAAACUCUGAAAUGGAAAGAUCUAUUGAUUAUUGAUUUUACGAGGAUUGUUUACUGAUUUUAUGAGAACACGGAUAUUAUUUACGAAGCAUGAAAAGAAGGGAAGGUGUUUUUUCGCCGAAGGCUCAAAAAACGGUAUGUAUAUGAUGUUUCAUGCAUCGUAAAGAAUAGAACUAUAAACAGCUAAUAUAUUACAUUCAAAGUUACAAAAUAUUACACAUGUUUCUCAACAAACUUUACAUUCUAAAUGUUUUUGCAGCAGCAUCUAAUCUUCCCUUAGAACUACUUCUGCAGCUUCAUUUAGCAGUUGAUCAACAACCUUAUCCAUGAUGGCUUCGGCCAUUUUUCUAAUUUCGUCAUCCCCCUUCGCGUGGGGGCCCGCAGAUGGCUCAGCAGGUUCUGAGGGAGGAGAAGAUACGGCUAUAUUACUAUUACAAACAGUAAACAAGUUCAAAAUCAAAAAUUACAACAGAGCCAAAAACCACUAGUUAGUACCUAUUUGCCGUUCGAGCUCUGCACCUUUUUCAGCGGCCUCUGCUACUUUUCUAGCGUCAUGGAUGCCUUUUUCGCUUUUUCGUAUAAUUUGUUGGGUCAUUUCUCGGCCACCGUUGUCCCAGAUGUCGGUGAAAAAUUUUCCACCGACCAGGCUCGCUUCGGCCGAGGGGUCUUUUAUAUCUUCGGAGGAUAAGACGGCUUUGGAUUGUGCCAAAAAUUUCACAUGCUCACAGCCUUUCCUCUCCAAAAUGGUAGCAAUCCCCCUGGCACCCGAAAAGGCACAUAUGUCUCCGCGGCUAUUCAAAAUUUCAUCAAAAACCUCAGCUUCGUGGCUGAUCCAUUUGAUUGGGCCUUCGGGGUCACCCCUUAUGAAGUUCUCUUCACUUGAAAAAGCGCCAACGCGGCGAAGCUGGUUUUUACUUUCUUAGCACAUUCUAUUGACUUUUCAUAGCAUCUUUUCCUAGAUGCACGAAGCUCUUCAACGCUUUUUUCCAAAUGGUUUGCCCAUUGUUCACUGAUUUCCCGUUUUGUUUCUUCAAGUGUGCGUUCCUCUUUAGCUCUGGCUAGUUGUUUUCGGAGAUCUUCAAUUUCAUGCCUCAGAGCCUCAGCUUGAACUUUAAAAGUAGCUUCGUCUUCUUUUAUUCUAUUUAUCAAUGAAUGCAAUAUUUUAUCUUUUUCGAGACCUUCGUUCCUUAGUUCAAUUACUUCAGAACGAAGGUUGCUCAGGGCCAUAACACAUCCUUCGUCCUCGGCAUCUUUUUGGGCCCUGAGGGCAUUACUAAGUAUAAGGCCCUGCAAAGAAAAAUGUGUGUGCGUCAAUAAACUUAAGCAAACGAAAAAUUUUGGUUUCAAGAAAAAAUACAAAAACCUCAUUUUUGCACCUUUAAGCUAUUAUACGCCAAGCUGUCGGCUAGAUCGUUUUUCGACAGCACAGAGAGCCCGUCUUCUAGUAUUGGGAAUCCGAAGCUCUUGCUCAUCUCCCGACAGACAGAAAUCUCCUUGCUGUCAGGGAGACAAUACAAAAAGUCUUCUUCUCCACUGCCGUUGAAAAUCAACGCCCCCUUUGGAUAUUUCAAUUUUUGGGCGUAAAACUGGGCCACUUUGUGACACCCCAGUGUCACCUAGGGUUUCUCCUAGAAAUCCAAACCAAGAACCAUUAUUCCAUGUAAAUCAAAGUAAGCAUGAGCAUCAAAUUAACUUGAGUAAUAAAGAAUUCACCAAGUAUAUGCUUAAAAGUGUCAUAAUCAAAGCAAUUGAGACUUUUGAAAGAUAAGAAUGUGCAACCCUAAUUAAGAACCCUAAGUGAGCCCCAUGAACAAAAUUCAAGAAAAUGAGGAAAAGGGAAUGAAAAAUUUAAAAUUUUGAGUUGAGCCAAUUAUAAAAGUUAAAGUAUAUUUAUUAAGCAACAAGAAAGAUUGAGAAAGCUUAGCCAAAAUAAUUCAAAUAAAACCCCAAAUCAAGCUUCUCAUGUAGGGACUCAUUGGGAAUUCUGAAUUUCAGAAUUCUGAAAUUCAGACCUUGAGCCAAAGAUCAGGGAUGUUCACCUUGAUCCCUAACUCGAAUCCUAAUGGCCCCAUUGACAAAAUUUUGUCUAACUAACCCCUCUGUCGUGUGCCAGAAGAUGGCAUUGGGACGCGAGCCCUAGACACGACAAAACCUGGGAUUUGCCUCGGGUUUGGGCAGGGAGACAAACCAGAUUUCCUGGCUCCAUAUCUCUGCAACCAGUAGGCAAAAUCCUAUGACCCCCACACAAGAAAGGUAGCUUGUAGGGAGGAGAAGAGGUUUUGUGCACUGACCAAGGCGAGAGCAGGCUCGGACGAGCGACCAUACGCGCCAGAACUUGGGCAGAACGCACGAGCACACGUGUUCGACCCUGGUCGGCACGCCAGAGCUCGCCCAACCCGCGCGCGCGCUCACCCCGGCGUCCAGUCAAGUCCGCCGCGCGCCCACGCCCUCGGCCGUGCUCGCCCGCGCCUAUAAAGCCUCCCCGGGCGCACCUCUCUUCGCCCCGCACUCACCCUCACCGGCCAUCCACCUUUCCUUAGCUUCGGUGAGCUUAAUUCCGCCCGCCAUUGCCGCCAGAGCUUCGGCCGCCGUGGCCAGCCCACUCCAGCCACCCUCAAGCCCAGCCAGUGCUUCGGCUAGCUCCGCCAGUAGCCCGUGAAGCUUGCCAAGCCCUCGAACCCAACCGGACUUCCCCGGAGGCCCGAGAUCGACCUCACCGGACUUCGGUCUUCCGCCGCCGCGCGUGGACCAAGCCAUCUAGUGAGUCUCCGCCCGAUUCCUUUCGCUCAUAUCUUCUCUGGCAUUUCGUGGACCUCCCUGACCUGUUUGAUUGAACUAUCUCGCCGUGACCAGACCGGUCUCCUCGCCGCCGACGAGCAUCCCCGCCUGCGCGCGUGGACCGACCGACUCCGGCCAUCUCCGACGGCGUUCCGCACACCGUUGUGAUCCCCGCGACCUCCCCUUCAUCCUCGACCACUUCACCGGAGUAGUCUCGCCGCCGGUAAGCCCCUCCGCCCUUUUCUUCGCCGCGGCUACUGUUUAAGGUAGAAGAAGGACCUCGGGUUAGGUUCUGUAGAACCUGAGGGGUUUUCUGUAAUGUCAGCGACUCUUGUGAAUAGUAACCUAAGGACCGAUUCGCGAGGAAAACUUAGAAAACCGCCAGGGACCCCAGUGCAAAGUGGAUUUCCAUUUAAUCAAUUCUGUUAUUCUUUUUAAAAUGACCAGAGAACUUAGAAAAUCCAUAACUUGAUGAAAUCUUAAUAAAAAGUUGUCAAACCAAUUUUGCUAGCUCUGGAAUAUUAUGAUCUAUCAUUUAAAAAUAGUAAACCCUAUGCUUUCUGUUCUAAAUUUUUAAGUUUAAAUUUAAAAACAGAAACCCCCUAAACCUUGUUUAAUUAAGGAAAAUUAGUUUUUCUUUUGUGCUGAGCUUAAGAAAAUUUGUAGAUGUUUAUACCUUAUUUAGACACUGUUUAAAAAUAGUAGGAACCCCAGCAUUGGAAAAUAUGGUGUAGUUUUUUAUUUAAAGCUAUUUUGUCCAAAACUUAGAGAAAAUCAAAAAGGCCUUAGAAAUUAAUGAACAGUGAUUAAUAAUAUUUUUCCUAGUUUACUUAUGCAACAGAGAACCUAGGAAAAAUGCAGAGACCAUUAAUUUGGACCAGUUUUUUUAAUUAAGAUGCUUUAACUAGCCUUAUAUAGACUGAAAAUCAAUUAUUAGAGUUGCAAGACUAUAACCAAAGUGAUUAAUAAAAAUCCAGUGAACUUAUAACCACUAGAGCCCCACUACAAAAAUACAGAGCACCCCAACCCAACUCUUUAAGUAAGGAAAUUAAAUGCAAAGUGAUAAUAAGGCAUUUUCCAACUAAAUCAUGAACAACCCCAAAUAAUGUGAUAAUGGGCAACCAAAAAUCAGCUAAGUCCAUGAUGAGACAAGCCACCAGAGAAAAAUGCAAACCCAUGAAAAGGAAGUACACCCAUACCUUUUGUUAGUAAAUUAUGAGAAAGGCCACUUAAUUCAAAUAAUGCAAACCACCCCUUCCCUUAAGCAAAAAGAAGCCAAACUUCAGAAUGAUUGCUCUUGCACAAAAUACUAACUAAGAAAAAUAAGAACUUUGUUGUUUGAUGUUUUUCAAAUAUAGAGGUAGUAGAAAGCACCUAUUUGGCUAGAAACCUUAAGAAAACCAUAGGAAAAGAAUUAAAAGAUAUUAAUGGCUAGAAAUUUGUGUUAAGUCAUGUUAUAACACCUAAAAGCCAGCAAAAAUAAGUUUUAGAGAAUUACCCACUGUUAAAUAAUAGUUGUAGUUCAAAGUACCCCUUCUGCCCUAGAAUUUGGUAAUUUUGUCCAGAGAAAACUAUUCACCUUCUGAUUCCCAAAUUUUGAGACAGAGCAACACACACCAGUAACAAGCCACUGUAAUUUUUGCAGAAUUUGUGGAAUUUUAUAAAAGCAACUUGUAGUUCAAACCCACUUUAAAACAUUAAAGAGAAUAAAAGAAAAGGAAAGAAGGAAUAAACCUCACCUCAAUAAGUCUAACUUGAGAACUUAUCAUUUAUUACUAAGACUUAAAAAGAAUUCAGUGGAACCCCAAAAAUAAACCUACCCCUUUCCUUAGCUAAGUUUAACCCAAUUUACCAAGUAUACCACCCAAGGGUUUUACGUAAGAAAAGUUAACUUGUUUAAACUCAAAAGACCAUACACCUUUAAAGUUGUAAUUUCUAAAAGCACAUAUCAUAUCAUGCAUAUAUCUUACGCAUUGCAUUCAUUAGAUUGCAAUCUUGCCGACGGAGAGUACGUGCUCAUCCCCGAGCAAGGACCUGUCCAAGAGGAGGACCAGGAGCAGGCUUCAGAGGCUGCUAUUGAGGAUCUCCCCGCAGCCCCAGCAAUUGAAGGCAAGCCCCGGUUUUAUGCAUAACCAUGUUAUUAUAUGCUACUUUACUACACUUAUUGCUUGUAGGAUUGCAAUGUGCACUUAAGUGUAGGAGUUGCUUGAAACCUCUAGUUGCAUGAACUUAGGAUUCCUUUUUGAGAUGAAUACUAGUAUGCUAGGUCGAAUAGCUUCUUGCUAAUCAGGAUCUCGGUAGAAGUCGAGUGAUUUUUCUAGCACUCGCGCGAGGUCAGGAAUUGAUUGUAUUCAUCUUGAUAACGGGAUUUAUGUUGGUCUAUGGACUUGGAUCUAGGGAGGAUGCCUUGUCCAUGAGACGGGAAAAAUGAAUUAAGGAUUAAUGUGUGGAUACCUGAGUCAAGCUUUUGAACGUACUAAGCACAUGCCGGGAAAAAUGGUAACCGGUAAACCUAGUACCUGAGUGAAGCCGGGCGCGGACUUUAUCCCUCAUGCGACCUGAGACAGGGUCUCCCAUGCUAGCUAUGGUGGGUACAAGUGCGGUCACUGCACGGCGGCAGCCGGGGUCAGUGGAGCAUUGUAUGCCAAGGCGAUGAGGCCUGGACGCGAACGGGGAAUCGAUGGGGACGGUUGUCAUGUGUGGGGUCGGAGUACCCUGACAUGCCGUGUGUUUAGGUUUACCUUGCAAGGUUUAAAACUCGAUUCGAAUCGUCUGCUUCUCGCAGCUAAUGAGACUGCUUGAUUCCUUGUACUGCAUCGAGUAAGAAGUGAAAUGUGGUUAUAUGAGAUAACUUGUUGGUUGAACUAAUUGAUUGUUACCAUGUAUGCUUAGAAGGAGCAAAUCUAGCUAAGUUAAUGAUGGUAGAAUUUGAAAAGCUAAAAAUUGAUUUUAGAAACAGCUAGUGCUUUUGGCAAACCAAACCCCUCAGCCAAACAGCUGCAUAGUCUAGAGGUAGAGGAGUAGACUCCUCACACCGGUUAAGUCUAGCUGAGUAUUAGUAUACUCAGCCUUGCUUGUGGCACCAUUUUUGCAGGUACCAUUCAGGAAAUGGUUGAUGGUGUGACUUGGCCUACCACCCUGCCACCGGGUUGGACGGUCGAGUGGGAUGUUGCUCCGGCAGGAGAGGAGCAUGAGGAGUAGUGGGCUAGGCCUUGCCCAUUUCCUCAUUACCGACGACAUCGAUUAUCCGCUGCACUUUAUUUUGUGAACUUUAUUUGCUACUCAAAAACUCCGAUUUAUGUAAUAACUCAGUACUUAAUUUGAGGUUUCCUGUUUUAUUGUAUUUCUUCUGUGACUCACCUUCGAGUGAGAUUGUGGAAUUUGAUCCUGGUUAAGUGGCUCUAUCAGACUAGAUCUGAAGGACUGACGGGUUAUUCCGAUUUAAGUGUGUUACGGCCCCUGAGGCGUGACUUAGGCACUUAAGCUGGAAUAAUUCGGGUGGUUCUGCCACAGCUGGUAUCGGAGCAAAUUCCACCACAGAGAAGGACAAUAAACCAUGAAUACCAAUUUUUAAAAUCUAAAACUUGCCUAGAAACUACUACGGAUCGUCAGGACUAGAUCGCUAGACCUAGGACGAAAGACCUUAAGCAUAGAGGGAGAAAUAGGUGGCUAAUUAAUUAGGCCCUGUGGGCCAAUACUUAUAUUUUUAAGGAUGCCCUAAAAAGGCACCCUAUUUUCUUUUGAGAGGCAACGUUCCUUACAUCAUGCAUGCAUUAUAAAACACCAAGAGGAAUUAAAAUUUGAGCUAACCCCCUUUUCUUUAAAAUCAUCCGGGCUCUCUUUUUCUUUUUUCCUUCCACCAUAAUCUUUAUCUUUGAUUCCCUUCCGCAGAUGAAUUCACCCACCCCCGCCAGUGGAGGAGACUCUCGUUUCAGUUCUGACUUCCUUUCUCGCGAUGGCUUUCCUUCCAUCUUGUGGGAAGUGCUUAACUCCGCCGGUUACCCUACGCCCCCUUUGUACACGGUGCAGUUGUAUGAGGAGCAUCGGAUACCUCGUUGUCGGGUCUGGCUAACUUUGGAGGCUCAUCCCCUUCAGCCGGGUUGGCGUUCUCUUGACUCUGAGACGAUUGGACUCAGGACGGACGACACCGUUGAGGCAGCAGCCAUGAAGACUCUGACGACUUUCUGUGGCUACCAUCCCCUGGAGAUGGUGAUGCACCCCUUGGGACUCUUCCCUGCUGAGAAGAAGGAUGAUCCCAUGUGGUGUAACCGCGUGAGCCAUGUGAAGGAUGUGUGGGCAAUGUAUCCUGACUUGGUUGGGAGGGUCACUGUUCAGUGCAUGAGUGCGUUGUACCGCCUCCAGGCCCUUCAGAGCGAUGCUAUGACACUUCUUGCUAACACCGCUCAGACUGCCAAGCUCACCUUCGACAGUCGGGAAGAUUUUGUGGUCGACUUAUCCACAGAGUUGGUGGAGAAGGAUCUGCAGGUGGAAAGGCUGAGCCAGCGUAUCACCACCCUGGAGCAGCAAGUGGAGAUCCGAGACAACACUAUUGAUGUCUUGGAGAACCAGCUUCACGAUGUGCAGAGGGAACUCGAGGAAGCAAAUGACCACUUGGACAUGCACCACCUGGAGAUGGAGGCCAAUGAAGCCGGAAGCGAGGGAGAAGAGGCUCCCGAGGAGCUAGGACCAGCCCCUGGUGCCCAUGGGACUACCUCCGCGAUGCCUCCUUCACCCGUAUCCAGUGUCGCUUCCACCGCUCAGGGUUAAGCAGUCACUUCGACGUUUUUAGGUGGAUAGAAACCUAUGCGAGCUUAGUAAUAUCACAUUUUGGACUAGGCUUGUGGGUACUUUCCCCUGAUUAAUGUAACCCUGUAAACUUUUGAUAUCUGUGGGAUCCUUGGCACCAUGUUAUCUUCAUUUCGAACCUAAUAUUAUGAUUAUGGCAUUUUCCUUCCAUAUGAGAUGAUAUCUUGUUGUUCGGAAAUGUGAGUUGGGAUAACAAUGGCGGCAAUCUCUGUUUUCAGAUGGCAGCUAGGCAGCGUCGCGGGCAGAAUGAGCAAGCUCCCCCGCCACCUCCCCCAGCUCCCACAAUGCAGGAGCUGAUGGCCCAGCAGAAUGAAAUUCUGCGACAGCUCUUGCAGCGCCAGCCCCACCCACAGCAUCAUGGUGGAGGCCAGCAUCAGCGACCUCCGGCUAUGGCAACAUACCAGGAGUUUCUGAGCACGCAGCCGCCCUUGUUCACCAAGGCAGAGGAUCCGUUGGACGCCGACGUGUGGCUUCGCGUCGUCGAGUCCAAGUUUCCCCUCCUCACAGGAGACUGCCCUGACGAGGCCAAGGCUCGCUUCGCCGCACAGCAGCUUCGCGGCCCUGCUCGGACUUGGUGGGACCACUUCCGUGCUAUGCUCCCCGCUGAUCGUGAGGUAUCUUGGGAGGAAUUCAAGACUGCCUUCAGAGGACACCACAUUCCAGCUGGCAUUCUUGAUCGGAAGUUGAAUGAAUUUCUGGCCCUUAAUCAAGGAACCCGCACGGUACUGCAGUAUGCGCAAGCCUUCAACGACUUAUGCCAGUAUGCAGGGUAUCAUGCUGAUUCUGAUGAGAAGAAGAGGGAUCGCUUCCGCAGGGGUCUCAAUACCAAGCUGCGGGAACGACUCAACACUGUCCGGGCUGAUAGCUUCAAUGAGUUGGUCAAUAUGGCCAUCUCCCAGGAAGAUUGCAUUGUUGCUCACCGGGCAGAGAAGAAGAGAAAGGCACCAAUGGCAGCACCAUCCGCUCAGGCUCAGAGGUUCCGGAUUGUUUCUCACAAUCAGAGCAGGGGUUUUCAGCAGCAGGCAGGCAGAUGGGUGAUCAGGCCACCUCAGCAGCAGCAGCAGCCGGCACCCAACCGCUAUCCAGCUCCCGCCCCAAGGAACAAUCAGCCUCCGCAGCAGCAGCAGUUCCGCCAGGGCAAUGGGAACAAGUGUUUCACUUGUGGCAAUGUGGGCCACUAUGCCAAGAAUUGUCCCAGGAACCAGCAGAGGCAGAUGCCAGCACCAAAUCAAGACAAGGGAAGAAAUCAGAAGGUGCAAGUCAGGCAAGGGAAGCUCAACUUCACUGCUCUAGAGGAAGUGCCAGAAGGAGCUCCUAUCAUGACCGGUACCUUUUCAGUUUAUAAUCAACCUGCUUUAAUUCUGUUUGAUUCUGGUGCAUCUCAUAGUUUCAUUAGCCAAAAGUUCAGUGCUAAUUGCAAACUGCCAUUCUCUCACUCAAAAGGGUCAUUCAUGAUAGUCACACCUGGGGGUAAAAUUGCAACUAAUCAAUUAAACCAAAGUGUGCCUAUUCAACUGGGAAGCCACAUUAUCAAAACCACUCUUCUUGUAUUGGGAUUGGAAAAUGUGGACAUUAUUCUAGGAGCAAAUUGGAUGACCUUGCACCAAGUUGUGCUUGAUGUAGCCAGUCGUACCGUGGAAGUUAAUUCUCCUUUCUGCGGGAAUUUCACUUUGAUUCUGCCUAGUCAGGGUUCUUCUCAGUCAUGUGCUUUCUCUAUGGCGGAGUUACCCUGAAAGAAGAUCCCAGUGGUCUGUGAGUAUGCAGAUGUCUUUCCUGAUGAAUUGUCGGGAAUGCCACCGGACCGGGAUAUUGAAUUCGCCAUCGAGUUGCAACCGGGAACGACCCCAAUUUCCAAGAGGCCCUACCGAAUGCCACCCGCUGAGUUGGUAGAGUUGAAGAAGCAGUUGCAAGAGUUGCUGGAUAAGGGUUUCAUUCGCCCGAGCACUUCGCCUUGGGGAUGUCCAGCGCUGUUUGUGAAGAAGAAGGAUGAAAGCUUGAGGCUGUGUAUAGAUUACCGCCCUCUUAAUGCGGUGACUAUCAAGAACAAGUAUCCUUUGCCUCGUAUUGAUGUUCUCUUUGACCAAUUGGUCGGGGCCAAGGUGUUUUCCAAGAUAGACCUUCGCUCUGGCUACCAUCAGAUCAAAAUACGAGCAAGUGAUAUUCCGAAGACGGCAUUCUCAACCAGAUAUGGGCUAUAUGAAUUCUUGGUGAUGUCAUUCGGGCUGACAAAUGCACCAGCAUAUUUCAUGUAUCUGAUGAAUUCUGUUUUCAUGCCGGAAUUGGACAAGUUCGUGGUGGUUUUCAUCGAUGAUAUUCUGGUGUACUCAAAGAACGAAGAAGAACAUGCCGGGCAUUUGCAUGUAGUGCUUCAACGUCUGCGAGAGCACCACCUUUAUGCCAAGUUAUCCAAGUGUGAUUUUUGGCUAAAGGAAAUCAAAUUUUUGGGUCACACUAUCUCUCAGGCUGGAAUAGCUGUUGAUCCUGAUAAAGUGCAAGAGGUGAUGAAUUGGAGGCCACCAACAACUGUUCGCCAGAUUCGGAGUUUUCUGGGAUUGGCUGGUUAUUACCGAAGAUUUAUUCCGGACUUCUCUCGAAUUGUGAAGCCUAUUACUGAGUUGCUGAAGAAAGAAGUCAAAUUUGUGUGGAGUCAGAAGUGCGAAGAUGCCUUCCAUGCAUUAAGGCAGCAUCUGACCACAGCACCAGUAUUGGCGCAACCCGACAGCAGCAAGCCUUUUGAUGUAUAUUGUGAUGCCUCUGGCACCGGGCUAGGUUGUGUCUUGAUGCAAGACAACCGAGUCAUUGCUUAUGCCUCAAGAGCACUCAGGCCUCAUGAGCAAAAUUAUCCCACUCAUGACCUUGAGUUAGCAGCAGUGGUUCAUGCAUUGAAGAUGUGGAGGCACUAUCUAAUGGGAACCCACUGCAACAUCUUCACUGAUCAUAAGAGCCUUAAGUACAUUUUUACUCAGGCUGAUCUCAACAUGAGGCAGAGAAGAUGGCUAGAGCUGAUCAAGGAUUAUGACCUGGAGGUACAUUAUCACCCAGGGAAAGCUAAUGUGGUAGCAGAUGCCUUGAGUCGGAAGUUGCAAUGCAAUUGCAUUCUGAUGGAUUCCCGUGUUAACACCUUGUGUGAUGAGUUGAGCAAGAUGCAAAUUGAAGUGAUUCCUUCUGAUUCUUUGUCUCAAAUAGCUGUUGAGCCAGCUUUGCAAGACCAGAUUAUCAUGGCCCAGCUCAGUGACAAGGGAGUGCAGAUUAUCAAGAAGAAUCUCCAUCAGAAGGUUGAGAAGUAUAAUUGUUUCCGCCAGGAUGAGAAAGGUGUGUUAUGGUUCAAAGGCAGAUUGGUAAUUCCUAAAGACCAGGAGCUCAAGGGGAAAAUUUUGGAUGAGGCUCAUCUCUCCAAAUUCUCUAUGCACCCGGGAAGCACCAAGAUGUACCAUGAUCUGAAGCCUUUGUACUGGUGGACCAGAAUGAAGAGGGAAAUAGCCCAGUAUGUAUCAGAGUGUGUCGGCGUUUCGAGACAGGGGGGUCCCAAAGCCGACGAGUGAGUGUGCUGCGUGCCCCAGCCCAGAUGGGUCAAGCGCGUGGGCGAGCGCGAAGGGGGGAGAGGCGAGGUGGCCGGAGUCGAGCGUGAGAGAGGUGGAAGUCCCGCGGCCUUCGUGUUCGUCCCGCGCCCAGGUCGGGUGCGCUUGUAGUAGGGGGGUUACAAGCGUCCACGCGGGUGAGGGAAGCGAGCGGCCCCAAGAGAGCGCCUGUCCCGUCCUCGGUCCCGCGCGGCCAACCUUCUCUAAGAAGGCCCUGGUCCUCCCUUUUAUAGUCGUAAGGAGAGGAUCCAGGUGUACAAUGGGGGGUGUAGCAGAGUGCUACGUGUCUAGCGGAGAGAGAGCUAGCGCCCUAGGUACAUGCCAAUGUGGCAGCCGGAGAGGUCUUGACACCUUGCUGGCGUGAUGUCGUGGCUGUCGGAGGUGCGACGGAGCCUGGCGGAGGGACAGCUGUUGGAGCGGUCGAGUCCUUGCUGACGUCGCCCUGCUUUUGUAAGAGAGCUGGGGGCCGCCGUCGUCACAGAGCUUGUGGAGCGCCAUCAUUGCCCAUCCGGCGGAGCUGGCCGGAUGGGACGCCGGUCUUGUUCUCCGUGACCCAAGUCGAUUCGGGGUAGGACGAUGAUGGCGCUUCCUGUUGACGUGGCGGGUCUGUGCCCUAGGCAGGGUGACGUGGGGGCUCCUCCGAAGCCGAGGUUGAGUCUAUCUUCUGUUGCCGAGGCCGAGUCCGAGCCAUGGGGUCGGGCGAGGCGGAGGUCGUUCGGCCGAGGCCAGGGCGGAGUCCGAGCCCUGGGGUCGGGCGAGGCGGAGUUUCGUCGUCUUCCGGGUUUUAGCCCGAGUCCGAGCCCUGGGGUCGGGCGGAGCGGAGUUCGCCGUCUUCCGGGUCUUAGCCCGAGUCCGAGCCCUGGGGUCGGGCAGAGCGGAGUUCGCCGUCUUCCGGGUCUUAGCCCGAGUCCGAGCCCUGGGGUCGGGCGGAGCGGAGUUCGCCGUCUUCCGGGUCUUAGCCCGAGUCCGAGCCCUGGGGUCGGGCGGAGCGGAGUUCGCCGUCUUCCGGGUCUUAGCCCGAGUCCGAGCCCUGGGGUCGGGCGGAGCGGAGUUCGCCGUCUUCCGGGUCUUAGCCCGAGUCCGAGCCCUGGGGUCGGGCGGAGCGGAGUUCGCCGUCUUCCGGGUCUUAGCCCGAGUCCGAGCCCUGGGGUCGGGCGGAGCGGAGUUCGCCGUCUUCCGGGUCUUAGCCCGAGUCCGAGCCCUAGGGACGGGCGGAGCGGAGUUCGCCGUCUUCCGGGUCUUAGCCCGAGUCCGAGCCCUGGGGUCGGGCGGAGCGGAGUUCGCCGUGGCGCCUUUGGCAAGGCCUGACUGUCUGUCAGACUCACUCUGUCAAGUGGCACCGCAGUCGGAGUGGCGCAGGCGGCGCUGUCCUUCUGUCAGACUGGUCAGUGGAGCGGUGGAGUGAUGGCGGUCACGUCGGCUCUGCCGGGGGGGGGGGGGGGGGGGGGCGUGUCAGGAUAAAGGUGUCAGGCCACCUUUGCGUUAAAUGCUCCUGCAACUCGGUCAGUCGGUGUGGCGAUUUAGUCAGGGUUGCUUCUGAGCGAAGCCAAGGCCUCGGGCGAGCCGGUGAUGUGUCCGCCGUAAAAAGGGGGGCCUCGGGCGAGACGGAAGUCUCUCGAGGUCGGCUGCCCUUGGCCAAGGCUAGGCUCGGGUGAAGCGUGAUCGAGUCACUCGUGUGGACUGAUCCCUGACUUAAUCGUACCCAUCAGGCCUUUGCAGCUUUAUGCUGAUGGGGGUUACCAGCUGAGAAUUAGGCGUCUUGAGGGUACCCCUAAUUAUGGUCCCCGACAGUAGCCCCCGAGCCUCGAAGGGAGUGUUAGCACUCGCUUGGAGGCUUUCGUCGCACUUUUUUGCAAGGGGACCAGCCUUUCUCGGUUGCAUUUUGUUCCGGUGGGUGCGCGCGAGCGCACCCGCCGGGUGUAGCCCCCGAGGCCUCGGAGGAGUGGUUACACUCCUUCGAGGUCUUAAUACCUUGCGUAAUGCUUCAGCUGGUCUGGUCGUUCCCUCAUGCGAACUGGCCGUAGCCCGGGUGCACGGUCGGGGCCCAAGCUCUCGGGCUGGUAUGUUGACGCUGUCAACGGUUUGGCCGGAGCCGGUUUUUGCGAGAGCAGCCCCCAAGCCUCUGCACAGGGUGAGAGGACGAUCAGGGACAGACUCGACUUUUUACAUACGCCCCUACAUCGCCUUUCCGCAAGGAGGGGGGAGUGCGCCAUGUUACCCUCGAUGGGCACCGAACAUGGUGUCUCCGGUGAGCUGCAAGCGGGUAAUCCGAGUGGGCGUCCGUGCCCCGUUCGUUGGGGGUCGGCUAGGGGCCCAGAGGCACGCCCAAAAGUACCUGCGGGUGAUUUGCCGGACCCGGUCCCCUGGCGACGGGGUCCGAGGGCUCGAUGCCUCCCUCCGAUGGGAUUCCGUUACAAGAUCGUUCCCGCUGGUCUCGGAAAUGUCCUAGGGUACCUCGGGAGCGCAGCCCGAGCCUCGGUUAUGUAUCGAACGUACCCCUGGUCAUCCCUCGCUCGGUGUCUGAGGCGACUGUGAACCCUUCGGGGGCCAGCCUUCGAACCCCUGAUCAGUAAUGGGCGCGGAGCCUGAGUAGCCUGAGGCGGCCAUGGAACCCUUCGGGGGGCUGGCCUUCGAACUCCUGACCAGUAGUGGGUGUCGGGCCCACGCGAUCUGAGGCGACUGUUGAACCCUUCGGAGGGCCAGUCUUCGAACCCCUGAUCAGUAGGGGGGCUCGGAGCCCGGUUCCUUCGCGGAAAAGGAUCCUUUUCGGGGUAUCCCCCUUUCCCGGUCCCUGUUGCAAGAGAUAGAGAAAGAGGAAAAAGGAAAAGGAUACGAAAUCGAACGACGUGGCGUACCUCUUUUUGACGCGGUUAUUACGGCGAAGGCGAAGCGUCGCGCGCUUCUCCCGCCAGAGGCGCCGCGUGUCCCGCCGCGGAGUUAAUGCGACGGGGCGAGUGGUUGGCGAGGCGGUCGUUGCGCGUGCGCGAUCCGUUCGAGGAACGGGUCACGGGUGCACCGUCUUCACGCCGUGGGAGGAGGCUCUCUUGCUGCCCCAGGAUGAGACGUGAGCCUGGCUGACGACGUGUCUGCUGCGCCCGCCCGCCUGCCACCGCCAUUACUGCCGGCCCACUUUCGGUCGCUUUGACCAACGUGCCAGGCUGGCGCUGCUGGGUCGCGCGCCGGGUCGCCUCGAGUCGCGGCAUAGGCUUCCUUUUUCGAGGAAAAAUUCGACGCAGAGGGGGUCUCCCCCCUUUUAGCCCUCGAGGGAGGGUCGGGCUUUGCCGAGGCUAGGCCGACCCUUCCUUGACGACUAAACUUUGCGUAGGUGCGAGGUAUAUGAACAACUUGGAAACAUCUUAAGGGUAGAAGCGACGUAGCUGUUUGAUGUUCCAAGCGUUGCCGUAGAUCUCGCCUUGAUUGUUGGCCACCUUGUAUGUUCCGGGCUUCAGAAUUUUGGCGAUGACGAAUGGCCCUUCCCAGGGGGGCGUUAGCUUGUGCCUCCCUCGGGCGUCUUGCCGCAGCCGAAGCACCAGAUCGCCCACCUGGAGGUCCCGGGACCGGACCCCUCGGGCAUGGUAGCGUCGCAGGGACUGCUGGUACCGCGCCGAGUGUAGUAAGGCCCUGUCCCGAGCCUCCUCCAGCUGGUCCAGCGAUUCUUCUCGGCUAGCUUGGUUGCUUUGAUCGGUGUAGGCCCUCGUCCUCGGGGAGCCGUAUUCCAGGUCAGUGGGCAAGAUAGCUUUAGCCCCGUAGACCAGGAAAAACGGCGUGAAACUCGUGGCGCGACUCGGCGUCGUCCUUAGGCUCCAGACCACCGAGGGGAGUUCCUUCAUCCACCGCUUGCCGAACUUGUUGAGGUCGUUGUAGAUCCGAGGCUUGAGCCCUUGUAGAAUCAUGCCGUUGGCACGCUCUACUUGCCCAUUCGACAUGGGAUGAGCCACGGCGGCCCAGUCCACCCGGAUAUGGUGAUCCUCGCAAAAAUCCAAGAAUUUUUUGCCGGUGAACUGGGUGCCGUUGUCGGUGAUGAUGGAGUUUGGGACCCCGAAGCGAUGGAUGAUGUUGGUGAAGAAUGCCACUGCCUGCUCGGACCUGAUGCUGUUCAGAGGUCGGACCUCGAUCCACUUGGAGAAUUUGUCGAUGGCGACCAGUAGAUGCGUGUAGCCCCCGGGCGCCUUCUGCAAGGGACCGACGAGGUCCAGACCCCAUACGGCGAAGGGCCAGGUGAUGGGUAUUGUCUGCAGAGCCUGAGCGGGCAGGUGGGUCUGCUU